UACGUAGGGUGCGAGCGUUGUCCGGAAUUAUCGGGCGUAAAGAGCUCGUAGGCGGCUUGUCGCGUCGGAUGUGAAAGCCCGGGGCUUAACUCCGGGUCUGCAUUCGAUACGGGCAGGCUAGAGUUCGGUAGGGGAGAUCGGAAUUCCUGGUGUAGCGGUGAAAUGCGCAGAUAUCAGGAGGAACACCGGUGGCGAAGGCGGAUCUCUGGGCCGAUACUGACGCUGAGGAGCGAAAGCGUGGGGAGCGAACAGG
rnacentral:rRNA from 1 species